rnacentral:rRNA from 1 species
UGAAGUAGGUCCCAAGGGUAUGGCUGUUCGCCAUUUAAAGUGGUACGCGAGCUGGGUUUAGAACGUCGUGAGACAGUUCGGUCCCUAUCUGCCGUGGGCGCUGGAGAAUUGAGGGGGGCUGCUCCUAGUACGAGAGGACCGGAGUGGACGCAUCACUGGUGUUCGGGUUGUCAUGCCAAUGGCACUGCCCGGUAGCUAAAUGCGGAAGAGAUAAGUGCUGAAAGCAUCUAAGCACGAAACUUGCCCCGAGAUGAGUUCUCCCUGACUCCUUGAGAGUCCUGAAGGAACGUUGAAGACGACGACGUUGAUAGGCCGGGUGUGUAAGCGCAGCGAUGCGUUGAGCUAACCGGUACUAAUGAACCGUGAGGCUUAACCUUACAACGCCGAAG